rnacentral:misc_RNA from 1 species
CCCCCCCCCUCCCUUCUCCCUCCCUCAUACCUCCCUCAUACGUGCAGGGCAUACGUGCCAAACACAUACAUACACGUGCAUGACCUCUUAGAGGGUAUAGCUCUCCGUUUUUUUUUAUCAUCAUCUUUGAGCACUCUAUCUUGUACGUACCCGAGCGGAGCUACGAAAAACAGGGAUUUGAUAUAUAAAGACAGAGCUGACGAUCGAAACUACGAAACUGAGUGCCAGUGACAAUUACGUCCAUUACGGCCAUCCCGAACAAGCACCCACGCCCGGUUGCAUCAGCACUACCAGUGAACUUAAAGACCGAACACCAUUCUGUCAACGACCAAGAUACCGUAAGCACGAACGAAGAAUAAAAGGAGAAAAAGCAAGGCCGGCGACACAGGAACCAAAGUGCAACAGUGUGUCUCCCCCCUUUUACCCAUCUAUACGUAUAGCAUUCACCCCACCCUCUCUCCCCGGUGCCCCUUAACCUCUGUCAAGGAACGGAAACUUGUUGAUUUGUUCACGAUCCUUCGACUCCACUCCAGCACCUCGCGCAAUCGCCUCUACAAGGAUACGCUUCUGGAUCGCACAGAUCACCGUCGACUACAUUACGGCAGUGCGUCCCCACCGACCGCUGGCACAUACAACAAGGAGCAGAGUGCUGUGCCGUCGAGCGUGCGUACGCGCAAGCUUUUUCAGUUCCUUUUUCUUCGUUCUCUCUCUUCCACUGCUUACGUGACAGCUGAAACUGUGCCUCAUCGUUUUUCUUCCACUGUGCUGUUUCUCUCUUUUGCUCUUGUCGUCUCUUCCGCUGCUUCUUGCUUUCGCACCACCCACCACCACCUCCCUCACCUUCCCUCUCUCUCCUUCACCCUUUCACCAUACUGCGCUUGAUCGCACACAUACAGUUCACGCCCCGUGCUCAAGCCAGCUUUUUUCCCUUUUCGCCCCCUUUCAGCUCUCUCUCUGUCUCUCUGCUUUUCUACCCGCACCUUCGAUCACUUGUAGCGGGUUUUCAUGGCGACUCGCAACGUGUACACGGCGCGACCAUAGCGGAAACGAUCACACAGACAGACACACACGCCCACCCUCCUUCCCCCCACACCCGCGAACAAAAAGAAAGGAGAGGGUUCAGUCAUAUACACACAAGACGGACCCGCCGCUGCUAACACAGAGAAUUCUAUCCCCUUCUUUUUCUCCCUUGUUUUCAAAGGACCCAGACGAAGUGCUUUUCACGCCUUCCGCAACGGCGAAGCUUCCAUACACCGACACACCCAGGCCUACAUACACAAGCACACGACGGUUUUGGUUCGUACAUAGCGUGAACCUUCCCAAUUUCCAUUGCCGCUUCAGUUGUCUUUUUGAAGCCGAAAGAGAGAGAAAACAACAAGGGAGGGGAAUCCCCAUCGAGCAAGAGAAGAGAAUAAAGCAUCGAAACCGCUUCCAAAUUCGAGCCUGCUUGAUUGUGUGUGGAGUGAGCGCCUUUGCACGCCUCAUUACCUCUUCUCACUCCUCAGUUUCUUUCUUUUUUUCUUCCUUGCUUUCAACUGUGAUACUCCUAACUUUACUUCCCUUUGUUGUUUUCUCCCCCCCCCUCUUUUGGCUCGUCUUUAAACGACGAAGGGAGGAGAAACGAAGAGGAGAAAACGUCAUCUCGUCGCUUCUUCUUGUUACCGUCUCAACAGCACUUGUCUUGGAACAGGCGAAUAGGAAACGAACAAAAAGGAAAGAGCAUCUCGACAAGGGCAGCCACUGAAGCAGAGAAACACGCAGGAAAAGAGCAGGAAGGGUUCAGAAGUGGAGGAGGAGCAACAGCAGCACCACCUGGGAAGGAAAACAACCAAAAAGGAAGAUCACAAGGGAGACUAUUGCCCUUCUUUCAUGCUUCUCUUCUGUUUUUUCUUUUCGUGAGUGCAUCCUGCUCUCUGCUUCUCUCCACUUCGCUCUUCUGCCUGGAUCGCUCUGUCUUCACGAUUUUUCCACUUCGACUCGAAAAAAAAAACACACACAUUCUCUUUUUUUUAGCAUUUUUCGGUUGUCCUUCCUCCCUUCCUCCCCGCCUCUCUCUUUUCUUUUCUCUUAGUUCCCUCCCUCUUACUGAACUUCUUUUUGUUUCGUCUUCUGCCGUAUUUCGUUUCGAUUUCUUUAUCGACUCUCGCUCUCGCUCUCUUUUCGUGGGUUUUUGUGUGACUUGUCUUUUUUUCUUUGCCUUGUUGUUGUCUCUUUUUGAAUAAUAUAUA